rnacentral:rRNA from 1 species
UACGUAGAGUGCAAGACGUUGUCCGGAAUUAUUGGGCGGUAAAGGGUACGUAGGCGGAUAGUAAAGUCAAGCGUGAAAGGUAGUCGGCUUAAACCGACAGACUGCGUUUUGAAACUGAUUAUCUUGAGUGUAACAGAGGAGAGUGGAAUUCCUAGUGUAGUGGUGAAAUACGUAGAUAUUAGGAAGAACACCAGUGGCGAAGGCGACUCUCUGGGGUUAACACUGACGCUGAGGUACGAAAGCUGGGGGAGCGAACGGGAUUAGAUACCCGCGUAGU